rnacentral:lncRNA from 1 species
CCCAAAGCAGCAUUUCCCAAACAAAAGUGAUGAAUGGUAGAUCUCUUCUUGGGAACUUGAUACCUGAUGGAGCAAAUUGACCCUGCAAUUGGCACUGAAGAUCAGGAAUUAAAAAUCAAAAUGCUGAUGGAAAGUGAGUGGAACACUUCUCUCUGUCUUUCGAUGAAGCCUCCCUAGGACAACAGGACUGAUGCUAUCUUCCUUGGGAAUUCUUCUGAGGCCUUCUGCUUGUACGUCUAACCUCUGAGUAGGCAGGUUUCUAAGAACUAAGAAAGUAUUACUGUGGGGAACUCAGCAGG